rnacentral:rRNA from 1 species
AUUGAACGCUGGCGCCAGGCUUAACACAUGCAAGUCGAGCGGGGUGAUGGUGCUUGCACUAUCACUUAGCGGCGGACGGGUGAGUAAUGCUUAGGAAUCUGCCUAUUAGUGGGGGACAACAUCUCGAAAGGGAUGCUAAUACCGCAUACGUCCUACGGGAGAAAGCAGGGGAUCACUUGUGACCUUGCGCUAUAGAUGAGCCUAAGUCGGGUUAGCUAGUUGGUGGGGUAAAGGCCUACCAAAGCGACGAUCUGUAGCGGGUCUGAGAGGAUGAUCCGCCACACUGGGGCUGAGAGACGGCGCAGACUCCUAGGGGAGGCAACAGUGGGGAAUAUUGGGCAAUGGGGGGAAGCCUGAUCCAGCCAUGCCGCGUGUGUGAAGAAGGCCUUAUGGUUGUAAAGCACUUUAAGCGAGGAGGAGGCUCUUUUGGUUAAUACCCAAGAUGAGUGGACGUUACUCGCAGAAUAAGCACCGGCUAACUCUGUGCCAGCCGCCGCCGUAA